GGUAAUACAUAGGUCACAAGCAUUAUCCGGAUUUAUUGGGCGUAAAGGAAGCGUAGGCGGGAAGGUUGAUCCAUUGUUAAAGGCAUUUGCUCAACAAAUGUGUGCGAUGGAAAUCGCUUUCCUAGAAUUAAUCAGGGGGCACUGGGAUUCAAUGUGUAGCGGUGGAAUGCGUAGAUAUAUUGAGGAACACCAGAGGCUAAGGCGAGUGCCUGGGAUAUAAUUGACACUGAGGCUUGAAAGCGUGGGGAGCAAAUGGGAUUAGAUACCCCAGUAGUCCACACCG
rnacentral:rRNA from 1 species